rnacentral:tRNA from 1 species
GUCUCUGUGGCGCAAUCCGUUAGCGCGUUCGGCUGUUAACCGAAAUUUUGGUGGUUCAAGCCCACCCAGGGACG